GGAGGUUAAACACAUGGUUCUAUAGGAGAUGGAGGAGGAGGUUAAACACAUGGUUCUAUAGGAGACGGAGGAGGUGGUUAAACACAUGGUUCUAUAGGAGACGGAGGAGGAGGUGGUUAAACACAUGGUUCUAUAGGAGACGGAGGAGGAGGUGGUUAAACACAUGGUUCUAUAGGAGACGGAGGAGGAGGUGGUUAAACACAUGGUUCUAUAGGAGACGGAGGAGGAGGAGGUUAAACACAUGGUUCUAUAGGAGGAGGAGGAGGUUAAACACAUGGUUCUAUAGGAGACGGAGGAGGAGGUGGUUAAACACAUGGUUCUAUAGGAGACGGAGGAGGUUAAACACAUGGUUCUAUAGGAGACGGAGGAGGAGGUUAAACACAUGGUUCUAUAGGAGACGGAGGAGGAGGAGGUUAAACACAUGGUUCUAUAGGAGACGGAGGAGGAGGAGGUUAAACACAUGGUUCUAUAGGAGACGGAGGAGGAGGUGGUUAAACACAUGGUUCUAUAGGAGACGGAGGAGGAGGAGGUUAAACACAUGGUUCUAUAGGAGACGGAGGAGGAGGUGGUUAAACACAUGGUUCUAUAGGAGACGGAGGAGGAGGUGGUUAAACACAUGGUUCUAUAGGAGACGGAGGAGGAGGUUAAACACAUGGUUCUAUAGGAGACGGAGGAGGAGGUUAAACACAUGGUUCUAUAGGAGACGGAGGAGGAGGAGGUUAAACACAUGGUUCUAUAGGAGACGGAGGUGGUUAAACACAUGGUUCUAUAGGAGACGGAGGAGGAGGUGGUUAAACACAUGGUUCUAUAGGAGACGGAGGAGGAGGAGGUUAAACACAUGGUUCUAUAGGAGACGG